CCGAAGACACCCGAACAUCGCUGGUGUACAGGUAGGAGACAAGGAAUUUAAGGUUUCAGCUUAUGCGGACGAUGUCCUCCUGACCAUCACGAACCCUAUGGAAUCAAUGGAAGCAAUACAAGAAGUCAUAGCAGAGUACGGUACGCUAUCAGGUUAUAAGGCAAACAUUCAGAAAUCUAGUGCACUACCACUGUGCUUGUCGCAAGCUGAUACGGUUCGGUUACAGGAGAUUUACCAGAUCCGCAUGGAAACGGACUCUUUGAAGUAUUUGGGAAUUAAUAUGACAGCUGACCCCGAACGCCUAUACUUAGCUAACUAUACCCCUAUGUUUAGAGACCUGAUGAGGGACUUAGACAAAUGGACGGACAAACCCAUAUCUUGGAUCGGCAGAAUACACUCAGUGAAGAUGAAUAUACUUCCACGUAUAUUAUUCCUCUUCCAGGCGCUACCCAUAAGAGUAACGAAGACGCAAUUACUACCGCUGCAAAGAUCGAUUGGAGAUUUUAUUUGGCAGAACAAGAGACAUCGAAUUGCUAAACAAGUGUUAUACCGUCGCAAAGACAGAGGGGGAUUGGGCCUGCCGAACCUCUAUUUCUACUAUUUGGCGGCUCAGCUGGCGCAGAUAGCCAUGUGGCAUUCCAUGAUGGAUGAGAGAAGGUGGGUAGAGAUAGAGGCUAUGAUGGUAGGUGUUGACGUACCCCAAUUCAC